UUAAAUGUGCCGAGCUCAAGCUCCGACCUGAAUUCGACUUCUCGACUUGACUACUUUACAUUCGAAAAACUUACAACUCAUUUAUAAGGUUGAGUAAAAACAACCGUUUCCUCCAAAACAUAUAAAGUGCAAACACCAAUGGCACCAAUACACUCCACGACACACACACCAGAUUGUUGAACCAAAAUUAAAUCUAUCAACAAACCCAGAAAUUAAAUUAUGCUAUGAUCCCAAAAAUUCAAUAUAUUUUAUUUAAAUCCCAUAAUGUCAAUUGCCACACGUUUCAGGGUUCCAAUUCGUAAAUCAUCAUCUCCACUAAUCAAGAAAUUAGGAAUAGGGUUUUGUCAGAAAGAGGUUUAUUAGGGUGUUGACAUGUGAAGAACAAGACUUGGUUAAUGAUGAUAUUGAGUGUGUUAAGAGUAGAAAGUUUGUUGCUUUAUGGGGUAAUGGUGAUUAUGGGAGGUUGGGUUUAGGCAGUUUGGAAUCGAAAUGGAGACCCGCUUUUGUUUCGAGUUUUGGAGAUGGUAGUUUGCGUGAGAUUGCGUGUGGCGGUGCUCAUAAGUUGUUUUUGACAGACACUGGAACUGUGUAUGCUGCUGGACUCAAUGAUUGUGGACAGUUGGGUGUGGCAGAUGGUAAAGGCUACACAAUUGUACGGACCUACUUGAAGUUUCUGGACUUCCCGGGAAUAUUGUGAAAAUAUCAGCUGGUUAUUAUCACCUGUCAGCUAUUACAGAUGGUAAUGUUUACACUUGGGGAUGGGGUGGCGCUAUGGGCACCUUUUUUGAAGAGGAGCAUUCUUCUGGUGGAUAAUUGGGCCUAGGAGAUGAUGCAGAUUAUGUUGAACCUACGAUGGUUGACUUUUGUGAGAAUGUGAAAGCAUCACAGAUCUCGUGUGGAUUUAAUCACACCGGAGCAGUACUCGAAUACAACUGAUUGCAAAUAAAGAAGGAAGCGUGUCUCGUUUUUCUUCACCUUCAAAUUUUGAAUGUACAACCAAGUUGGUGAUGAGCUAUCACGAUGCAGAUGGUCUAAUGGUCUAUACAAGUACAAAUAGCAGUGAUACACAAUAAGAGGUCAAGCAUGUAAAACGUCUCCAAAACUUCAAGUGAUACACGUAGGGUAUAUUAAAAAUAUACACCUAAGCGUAGAGCGACAACUACUGAUCUUUGAUGACGACCACAAUGAAUAUGAGUUCGUUGCUGAAACCCAAGCACAAGGUCCAAUCGAUUUAUAUAUUUUUGUAAUUAAUAUAUAUGUUAGAUGUUAUUUUUAUCCAUGUUAAUAUUUAUACUCGUAUUAUUUUAAUAUUAUAGAGAAUCUUUUCAAAAAGAAGAUGUUAAUGUAUUUUAUCAUUUCUAAUAAAAUUUAAUCAAGGUAAAUGCGUAUCA